UGAAAUCACUAGAGAAGGGAGGCAGAGUGGCAGCUCAACUUCUUCCUGUUUGGUUUUGUGUCUUGUGAUAUGCUUUCAGUAAGCCAUCAGAGUGGGGAAGAAAGGUCAGAAAAGAUGUGAAGAUGUUGAGAGAAGGCUUCUGCAAAAAGGAAAGAAGAUCAUAAAUCAGUGGCAAAUGUGCAGAUUUGGACUGUCCAAAGUUUUACCUUGAGAAUAUUUUCCUGAAGCAUUCCAAAACACUGAAAUCCUGGGAUGGCAAGAAAAAAAAAUCAAGUAAAAGAUUCACCCAUUACUGAUCUGCAGACGGCAGUGGUGAUUUCUCUGUGUUGCCACCCUUCAGAAGCUAAUGAGGAGUUUUGGAUCAAGCUCUUAUUGAAAAGUGGCUGAAAACAAGAGUUCUGGGAUAGCAGAGAACUUCAGCAGAGCUUUGAUUUUUGCCUGUUUGAUUCCAACUCAGUUGUCUCUUCCGGAUCCUGAAUUUUGAAAAGAUGAUUGCAGAUAAAAGCUCUUCAAGACACAUGAAUUGUGCUUGCAGUGUCUAUGAACAUCAGAAGAACAUCUGUUCCAGACUCGAAUUAAUGGCAAGGACUAUGUAGAUGGCUGCCAACAAGCUUCAAUCAUGCACAGAGGAAAACAGCAAGGACUAGGCUGAGUGGAUUCAGAAGAGUACUGUCUCACAUCAGAUGAAGACAGAAUCAUGUGAAGGUCUGUCUCUACAUCAUGCAGCAUAUAUCCCUGUGCAUGUGCAAACACACAGACACGCACACAUACACAUCUAUCUGUCUAUAUAUAAUCUUCAGCGGAAGCUCAUGCAUAGGGGAAAUUCUGGGAAUAAUUAAGAAAAGGAUACUGCAUCCUCCAGCAGACGGAAUACAUCUUUUUCAUUUAAAGCAUUUUUUUUUCUUUACCACCAACUUGCUGCAAUUAGGAGGUUGUUGGAGAGAUAUCAAUUGAGAUUUGGGAACUGUUUUCUGGAAAUGUUUUGAAUUAAAAUCUAAUUGGUAGCUUUCUUUGAUAACUAUUUUAUUGUUGGGUGCAGCUAAAUGGAAAUCGACCACAAAAGGAACUCAAUUUUGUUUGUCAUUAAUUUUAACUCGAUUUCACAAAUGAUUUACAUAUAUGAUAUUUUCUCUAUUUGUUCUGUACCAUUCCUAAACUCCACUUAGAAGAACUUAGACUGCUUUAGUGUUGUUUUCCCAUUUAUCUAUUACUUUUAAAUACUCUAUAUUACCUUAAAUAUGGGUUUCAACAGAAUGGUUAAGAAGCAGUAAGUGGACCAAAAUUAAUCUUCUUGUAUUUUGUGAAAAACUAGGAAAUUAAUGUCCCUGAAGACAAAAUUUACUUGUUUUUGCCUAAGACAUUUUUGAGUGCUGGGGUCAAAGAAAAGUAGACCUACACAGCAAACAAAUGAUCAUAACAAAGCAAAACUUUGAAAAGAUAAAAUUACAGAGUAACCAUGUAAAAAGUCACGGCUCAGCUACACGGUCAAGUUACGUCAGUUUAAUGUGUUACCAGGACAUCAAGUGAGCUAUGUCCAUGUGUGAUCACUAAAUGUGAGCUAAUUCAAUGUACAAUAUGAGAAAGGCGAAAGAUACCUAUAAAUAAGUACUGGAAAGAUUAAUGAAUAAUUUUGCAAAGGGAAGAUUGGGUACAAGCAUCAAUCACAGCAGAGAUGUAAUUUUACUAACAAUGAAUGCCAAAUAACCUGGGCAGGCAGGACCCCAGCCAAAACACACUUAACUGAGUCCAAUUGACUCUAUGGAUAUUGGACUGUGCCCAUGGAAUGUAAGAGAAAACAGCAAUUUGGGGAGGCCUAAAUCCUUACAAGGGGGGACAUAGUUGAUAUUUGUCUGGAACAAAUUAAGACUGUUGUUGGUACCAGACAAAGGCAGGUAUAUGAGGGUUUGCUUAUUGUGGAAAUACAAAUAUCGAAAGCUUUUUCUCUUGAGAAUUGAGUUAACAGGAAAAGUACAAUAUUGGUUUCUUUAUUUGAGUGUUUGCAACUGAAAUACUGUGCUACUUAGCAGCAAAGAGAAGGAUAACAUCUUGCUGUAUCACUGUGUAGGAACAUAGCACGUCCUCUCUUCUGACAGAUUUAGAAGUAGGCUUUCACUUAAUGGGGCAGAACUGCAGUGAUACACCUUUUCCAUGAGUCCCUAAGCACAACACUGCUGCCCAGAGUACUCCACCAAUACAGGAAAGCUGUCAGGAAACUGUGAUGACACUGUGCAUUGCAAAGUUUCUUAAGUAACAAACCAGCCACACCUACACUGUCUCAAUGCUGCGCAUGGUGCUGUCUGAAAGCCUGUUUAUAGUUGCCGUUUGGUUCUUGCUGUCAUAAACUUUUGGCUCUGCAAGAUAUUCAUUCAUGUUAGGUUGUUUCCCUGCUUCAUUUGGGUUAUUUGAAUUCUGGUCCCAUUUCAAAAAGCAUUUAUAUAAAAAUGUAAUCUUCUGUCGUAGCAGAUGUGCCCCACAAGUGCUUUCAGAGGCAAAGAUGUUACUGACUUUGGUGACUCAGAUAUUUCUCAAAUUCUGUUUAACUGUGGUUGCACUGAAAUAAGGCACUUGAUUCAUAUAUCUUCUAUACGUUAUCAGUAUACCAGGCUCAUAUGCAUGAAACUGAGGCUAACAGUUGACCAUGAAUCCUCUCAUUUUCUAUUUUUUUUUUUUUUUUUUUAAUACUGGUAGCAGUGCAAAAGAGAAUAGACAAGUGGUUUGAAAAUGAAGUCUUUUCACGUCUAAAAUAAGGAGCUAUAAUUUGGAAAUUGCUGUGAGACUGUAACUAUGAACUACAGUCAUAUGGUUUUUACACUUCUCAGAUGGAAACUGUACAUAUCAAUGUUGGUUUGCAUUAACUUUAAAAUAUUUGUCUUCUACAAAUUAUUUUUUCAGGAUGUUUAAUUAAAUUUAAAUGUAUUUCCUCAAAAAAAAAAUCCUUUGAUAAUUAGGUAGUUUUAUAAAUUCCUCACUGUGAACUUCAGAAUUAGUAAGAGCUCAAGUGCUUUGAGAUUGGUGUUUAAAUUGUUUUUCACAUGACUUCUUGUUAAUUUUGUCUGUGCUCAGGAAGCAUUUUGCCAAUAUUUGUUAAUAUCUAUCUUUGCUCAUUCAGUGCUUCUUUCACCAUUGUAUAUAAGUGAUAUAAUCAUAGGUUAGAAAGGCAGUGUUUGUUCAGAAGAGCCGUACUGUCAAUGAAUAGCAAGGUACUUUGCAGUACUUUCUGAACAGAGUUCUUUGCUCCCAGGAGGAUGUGAUAACAGUUCAUCUGUAAUUUUUCUUGUGGAAAGGUACCACUUACAUGAAAAAAAUUGGGGCUCAGCCUUGCCUUUGUUGUAGAAAACCACACAGUGGAGAAAAGGCCACUGGAGAGCCACCCAUUCCCAAGAGAGGUUCUCUCUUGAUUCCUGCCUGCAGACUGCUUUGCAGAUUUUGAUAUGGUAAUUUAGCAUUAGAACUCUCAGACCAAUAUAAAAAAUGCCACAAAUGGACCAAAAUGUAGAUUACUUGGUGGGAAAUAAAUGCCUUUUUUAAUAAA